CCCAAAGACCUAUUAGAACUAGUGUACAAGCUUAACAGAGUCACAGUGUCCAACAUGAACACUAAAAGCUGCUGUUUUUGUUUUACAGGGCUGUGGAGGAAACCUGGGGCCUGACACUGAAAAAGAGCAUGUUUAAAGUGCUGCAACAAUGGAUACCCAGCAGAGAGACACGAAUCACUGAGGUGGCUGCUGGGACAGUAAGCUGGACUGCGACAAGAUCACAUGAAGUUGUAGCACAAACACUGGGUACCUGACAUUGUCUUAUUUAACUAGUUUAAUAUUCUGGUUGCUGUGCCCUUUCAUCUCAGAUGUGACACCCACAGGCCCACCUGAGAAUAUGUAUUAGCAGUGCAUCUAGCAAUAAGAGGACUAUCACAUGCUCAACAAGGAACAAAGCCUGGAACCUACCUCCCCCCUCAGCUGGUGUGGAGAGGCUCUGGUCACUUAGACUUUCCGCCAACAUCCAAGCUGGGAGGAUUCUUUUCCUCUGGGUAGGACGUGGCUGGUGCUCACUGAAAGCUCUGCAUUCACCUGAAGAGGACUAAUAGAACCAUAAAUUAUUUCCUAAAGGCACAGUAUAUGAGAAUUCCAGUUUCUCCAUAUGCUAAUAUCAACAUUUACUAAUGACUUUGAUUACAGAUGCCUAGGAGCUAAGAUACACGGUUUCAAAUGGGAGGAAAUCCAAUUUAUCAAAUGCUGAUACUUUGCUGUUGGACAUGUAAGGCCAUUACCUGGGGCUGGGUGGAAUACAAAGGUAAAAGACAGCAAACACUGGAGCAAACACCACGAGGCUUAAGUUUCCUAAGCCAAGUGUUUUCCAGAAAGACAAAUGACGUGACUACUGCAGCCCAAGUAUGACUCAACCCUAGAGUGAUUUCCCUGAAGCAUCUGUGAAGGUGGAGGAAUCAGAUACAAACACCAUCCAGGCAAUCUUACCUCAGAGUACACUCCAUCUCCACUUCAGAUUCUGCAGAGAAAACACGGAAAGCGUACUUGUCAAGUAACAGGGAAAAGCUAUCCCCGGGAUGCAACUGGCUCCACACUUGCGUCUCCAUUGGCGAGUGUUGGCUCUUCUCCGAGGACUGGUAGAAACAUGGAUUCCUAUGGAUCUAAUCAAUAAAGAAUAGAGCUACAGCGGUGCAGCAGAUUGUGAAAAAUAUAACUGAAUAUGAGUGAUCCACAAUUCUGGUGUCCAAACAACUAUGUAUAAAAUUACACUAAAAAGGUCAGUGAGCCUGGCACCAUUGACUGCAAUCAUUUACAUAUGAGAAGGGGCUCUACCCUCCAUUUCUGAAAGAAUCCAAGAUAACAAACAAAAUUAUCAAUUGAUGAGUUAAAUGAACUACUCAGUGGAUGUGAAAAAUUAAAAAAAUAAGUAAUUCCCAGCACGGGAAGAGUCUCCACUGUUUAUCCAAAAUGUACCUGUACCAGCAACAGCUCUCGCUUACCAUGGAUUUUCUCCUAAUAAUUUCUAACACAAUUUAAAAGUGAAAAGCCAUGAGGCAAGAGAUGAUGAUCUACUCUCUCAGCAUCACUGCUUCCUUUGCAGCUACCUUAGAAGAGCAAUUGUCCUCCUGAAUAAAACUCCUUCCAUGAAGAUCAU
rnacentral:lncRNA from 1 species